GGCCAGUAUUUGGGUCGUAACUCAAGACUUUGGUCGUAAGUCAAACCCAGGAUCUGGUCAUGAUCCAAGUUGUUCUUAUGCCAGACCGGUCGUAACUCGAGGGUCCAGUGUAUCACAUUUUCUUGCUUUGCCUUUUUCUCUUUGGUCUUUAGGCAUUAGGGUGAGGUUGAGGGUAAUUUUGUCUGGAGGAGUUGAAUUUGGACUUCAAGACUGUGAGGUGUGUGUGUGUGUGCGCGUGUGCGUGUGUGUGCAUGUGUGUGCGUGUGCAUGUGUGUGCGUGUGUGUGCGUGUGCAUGUGUGAGACAGCAUGUUCUUUGGGGUCGGAGUUGCAGUGCGAGACAUGCAGACCCUGGAGCACUCUCGUGUUCUAGAGUGAGACUCCUCGCCCACCGUCCUGUCCCGUUUCUGGGAACCACACACUGCAGCGCAGUUGUUUGUUGAGUGCUUGUGAGGCGAGACCACCCCCCGGCAGCUGGACAGGUCCUCACAGGGAAAGAUGAGCAGCAUCCCGUCACACGUCUCGAUGCCCGGCUCGAAUUUCGUUCCUUCUCUGUUGGAAGGUGCAGCUUAUCUGACCGGAAGCCUCUUCGGAGGUUGUCAAACCCGGAAUCUGUGUACUGAGCUACAGCACUGGCUUUAUUUUAUUUUAUACCCACAUAUUCCCAAUGGCAAUUUUAGCCCUGCUUUUGGGCUGCCACCCAUCCCAUAGGAUAAAGUGUAGAAUUUCCCACUGCUUUCAUGUUCUGAGUUCCAAAAGUUAUAAGUUUUGGAGUAUAUUCGUUUUCUUAUUUUCAGAUUAUGGAUUUCAACCCUGUGGGUUUGUUUUUUUUUUAAGUGUUGGAUAAAUCUGGGGUCAGCAGCACACACAACUGUCAUCCCAGUGCUUUGGGAGGCCGAAGCAGGAGAGUCCCAAGUUCCAUCCCAGCCUGGGGAACUUAGUGACAACGCUUAGACUGUCUCAAAAUUUUAAAAAUUUAGAAAGGGAUUGGGAUGGAGAUCAGUGUGAAGGCCUUGGGUUCAAGCCUCACAGUGAAAAAUUUUAUAAAUAAAUAAAUAACAAUUUUGUCCUUUCAAAAAAUAACUGUGCUCCAUAAAAAGCUAUGUCUUCAGCUUUUGUUAUUUUAGUGAUUCACAUUAAAUUUAAUAUGUGUCUUAUUAUUAGCAGGAAGACACUAAAACUAUGCUUUCCACUCUCCUAGAAGGAGACAGUAUUUCCGACUCUGAUUACUUCCUUUGCCUCCAACAAGUUAUUGGGACAUUAAUUUUGUCUCCACCUUCUUUUCUACCUUCAAGUGAGCCAUAAUGUUACUGAUGGGGACUAUGGAGGUUCACCUAGCUGUAGGAAUUUCCCAAAGCAGUGGUGCUGUAUGCGCCCAGUGCUGGCUGGGAUUUAUAUUCUGCUUUCUUCUUCUUCGUCCUUCUUCCUUCUUCCUUCCUUCUUCUUUCUUCUUUCUUCUCUCAGCACCGGGGACUGAACCCAAGGCCUUUGCACACAACUCCAUCCCAGCCCCUCUUUGUAGCUCAUUUGGAGACAGCGUCUGGCUGAGUUGCUCGGUUGCCCAGACGGGGUCCACACUAGCUACGCUCCUCCCUCAGCCUCCCCGAGUGUGGGUCGGUUCCUGUUUUCCCCCAGCAUUUCUCAUUCCCUGUCCAUCCUGCUGAUCCUGGUGUCUUCCUCUUCCUGAGGAAAGUUCUCUUUAGGAACCAGUCCUUUCUGUCCGCAUUUGCUGUGCGGAGUCGAGACCUGACCCCAUCCUGCUCAGCGCUGAAGAUGGAAAUCUUUCUCUGCAGGUGUUUCUAAACUUUGGAUUUUUGAAAUCAUGAUGGACCCCAGGGAGCUAUCACUUGCUAUUUCUAUUUCUCUCUCUCUCUCUCCUUUGUUAGAAAAAUGUACACGUUUUCUCUCUCUACAAAUUCAGGUUUUCAAGCAGACUAUCUUGAAAUUCAUUCAAAAAAUAACUUGGUAGUCAAAGAGGAGGCAUGAUCUUUCUUUCUUUCUCUUUCUUUCUCUCUUUCUUUCUUUCUUUCUUCACACAGGGUCCCGUUAUGUAUCCAUGGCUGGCCUCAAACUUUCCAUUCUCCUGCCUCAGCCUUCCUUAGCCAGCACACAGCCCGUUGCCCUGGGAAUCCCAAGAUUAUGGUAUGAUGUGAUAGAAGCCAUGAUCAACUGGCAUCCUGGGGAUUUAUUAUGGCUCCACUGGGGACAAUCCCAUACUGGCAUGGGAGCCAAAGGCAGGAGGAGGAGGUGCCCUGCUGGGGAAACACCUACAACAGCCAAAUCUUGGAAGUGGACUGUAUGUCUAUCAGCUGAUACAUGCAUAAAGAAAAUGUGGUGUUUACACACAAUGGAGUACUAGUCUGCCGUGAAGAAGGAUAAGCUUGAGGCACAUGUAGGAAAAUGGAUGCACGUUGAGACCAUAAUGUUAAGCAAAAUAAAUCAGGCACACGAGCUUCAGUGGGGCAUGGUUUCUCUUCUAUGAGAACUCCAACGUGUAAAUAAAGAGCACAAUAAAAGACAGAAAAUAGAAAGGAGGGAGAUGAAGCUUUUGCACGUGAGAAGCGGACCAAAAGAUGCAGGGGUGGAAAGGGCAGGCGGGAAGCAAACAGGAUGAAGUUGUCCGUGCACCACGUUCCCACGGUGAAGGCAACAUUACAGACAGCAAACACAGACUAACGGAAAGCAAACACAAACCGAAAGACAGCUCAGUGUCAGGUGCGGACAACGCAGUGUCUUGCUCUGGAAUCCUGCACACCCGGAAGAGGAGCGUGUGGGCAGCGUUUGUUGACUGCCCCACACGAGCCGCGCCAAGGUCCUGUUCAGCCUCACUGUCUGUGCUCCCGUCCCCCGCGGAUCUGGCCGUGACUUUCUCUUCUUCUUCGGAAAGCACAGAAGUUCUUUGCUAAGACCAGGUUGCCAGUCCUUGGGCUCUUUGCAGAAUUCUUUCCUCUUCACCUGAGGACGAGAAGCGUCGGCUGGGGACCUCGUGUGACAAAUGAAUCUCGCAGAGAUGUUUACAGGCUGCUUAAACAAACUGCGGAUCCUUAAUCGAGUUGGGUCAACCGUGUUUAUCCGUGGGGUCCGUGCUUAGGGGCUGGAGAGCAAAUCAACAAAUACAAGUCGGGCAUCGCUGACCCGGGAAGGGUCUCCAGGGUGGGAAAUGGCAGGGCAACGUGCUUGCCAGUCACUCAAGGUCACCUUGAAAUCUCAGCAGUGGGAGUGGAAAAGUCGAUCUAUUGCGCAUGGUGACUUAAUAAAACUUGGUGAAUCUUCCUCUGGGAUGUGGACUCUCUAAGCAGUUUCGAUGUCCGGGUUAUCUUUUAUUUUGCCCAAAAUAAACUUUUUCUUAACUUGCUUUGGAAUUUGUUUCUGGAAGAAUACUCCCCAGAGGAAAGAGGGUAGCCACGGUUUCUUGAAAACUGCAUUUCUCCUCCCAAAACUCUGUGCUGAGAAUUCAAGUCGCCCCCUGGCUACGGGGCCGGCUGUCUGACACAGUCACCGAAACACGCGGUUUCAUGAAAGCUGCUCCCUUAGCAUCAUCCUCAGGCUCUCAGAUCUGCAAAGUCCCAUAAAAGUAAAAAAUAAAAUUGCAAAGUGAAAUACCUGAGCAUGGAGGCACACACCUGUCAUCCCAGUACUCUGGGAGGCCAGGGCAGGAGGAUCACAAGUUCCAGUCCAGGCUGGGCAAUUUAGCAACUUAGUGAGACCAUCUCAAGUCUCAAAAUAAAAACCGAAAGGAUGGAGCUCAGUGUGAAGGCUCUAGGUUGAAUCCUCAGGACUGCAAAUACACAAAACAAAUUUUG
ensembl:lncRNA